ACUGAACGCUGGCGGCAUGCCUUACACAUGCAAGUCGAACGGCAGCACGGGAGCAAUCCUGGUGGCGAGUGGCGAACGGGUGAGUAAAGUAUCGGAACGUGCCCAGUCGUGGGGGAUAACGUAGCGAAAGUUACGCUAAUACCGCAUACGAUCUAUGGAUGAAAGCGGGGGAUCGCAAGACCUCGCGCGAUUGGAGCGGCCGAUAUCAGAUUAGGUAGUUGGUGGGGUAAAGGCUCACCAAGCCGACGAUCUGUAGCUGGUCUGAGAGGACGACAAGCCACACUGGGACUGAGACACGGCCCAGACUCCUACGGGAGGCAGCAGUGGGGAAUUUUGGACAAUGGGCGAAAGCCUGAUCCAGCCAUGCCGCGUGCAGGAUGAAGGCCUUCGGGUUGUAAACUGCUUUUGUACGGAACGAAAAGGUUUGGCCUAAUAAGCUGAGCUCAUGACGGUACCGUAAGAAUAAGCACCGGCUAACUACGUGCCAGCCGCCGCGGUAA
rnacentral:rRNA from 1 species